UCUUCGCUUAAUAUUAUCAGGACUUUUACAUAAAGAAGAUUAAGGUUGACUGGGCAUGUAGCACGUAUUGGAACUAAUAAGUGUGUACCUGUUUUUGUUGGGAAACUUAAACAGAAGUGACCACUGGAAGACUCAGACAUAGCUGGGUUUAACAUGCUAAAAUGUACCUUGUUAGUUUGUAGGUGUGGGCUGGGUUCACUAGCUCAGGAUAGGAUCUAAUGGCGAGCACCUAUGAACCUUUCGGUUUUAUGAAUAGUGCGCAAUGAAUUGCAUAAAGACAUAAAUUGUUUUUCAUAGAUCGUUAAAAAUACGCCCAAUAAAAUCUUACAGAUUAAAGCAAUGGAUAGAAUCUCAUUGCUGUUUCUGGUUGUCAUAGCUAAAAUUUCUCUUGGUUUUCCUCCGUUUCACCAGUGUAUUUGCUGAAGUAACGCUAAAUAACAGCACAAUAUCGUAGAUUCAACAACGUGUAUUUGUUACUGUGGAAAAUUACUUACGUACUUUGUCGGUUCAAUCGACCUUGAGACUUAGCCUCAUUGACUUUCAAACACAAAACCUUCCUCUGUGCCUUGUCAAGGUGUGAUAAAUUGAUAGAAUUGAAUCAUGCGUGCAGCAUCAUUGAAAUCGAAACGGAAAAGUGAUUAUUGAAUCUUCUAUACGGUCUAAAAUAGUGUUUCAUUGUAGACACCCUAAACAUGAUAGAAAUCCGCUGUUUGGAAAAUGAAACGUGAAGAUGAAAAUGACCUCCCAUAAUGCAUUUCGCUAUAUGUUGGCGGUAUGGUGGCAAGGCGCAUGCUCGUAUUUUGUGCAGACAUCACCUUCGAGACUGGUGGAACAUUAUCUCACCUCACAAGUUUGUUAAUGUGUGGCUCCCAUGAUUGAGAACCCAUUUUAAGUUGUAGAUGCCGUAAUGUUUGUUACGCGAGCAGAAGAGGAAACGACAAGACGCUUCGUGCAAAUACACAAGAAUCAACAGGUGCAACAGCCAUUUUGCAUAUUCUUCAAUUGUCGUACAAUGAACACAAAGGCAACUCGCCAUUAUGAUCUGCGAUUCUUACUUACGUCUGCAAAAAAAACACUAAUCAUGGACCUAGCAUCAAGAAAUACUGAUUUCGCGCUGAGGCCAUUUUAUCAAAGAAGAAGCACCGAUGUCCCGCCCACAUCGGAAGACCCCCAGGGCUGCCAUGUUGGAAUCAUUGUCGGCAGGGAAGUGCGGAGACGGGUGGGGUGAUGUUCAUUGCUAAUUCCACGAAAAUCCGUCAACUGGUUCAAAACUUGUUGUGGGAGACACAAGGACAUCAUACCGUAAAUCUAUAUUUUCUUUGUUUCAAGUUGUGUCUUGAGGCAUCGCGAAAUACUCAGUCGGUAAGUAGAGUGGCUGUGGGCUUCGAUUAACAGUGGUGGAAGGGCUUUUUGUCUCUGCUAUGACAUGCAACCGGUUUUGGGACCCAUCAUUCGUUACGAGGAGAAGGGGUUUUUCAGAACUUGUUUUCUUAACGAAACAUGCUAAGUGAAAGCGAAUGUUCGCCACUUACGUACGAGGGAGUCUCUUCUGAGGCGUGCGCAGUACAUCCUUAACAGUAUACAGCAACGUUCUGUACAGGAUCUACAUAUUAAUAUUUUAUAGAAGCUAUUUACAGGCGUCUCCAACACCGAGAUUAUUUGCAACCUAUUUGGUUUACUAACUAGCAACUUCCCCAUUGAAUAUCAACGAGCAAUCUUAUUCAUUACACAUUAUUUGUGUGUCAAACGUUUUAGAUGAUUGAUUGCUUGUGAACAUAUAAGCGUCCAGUGAUGUAUAAAAACACUUUCAUAAUUUUAAAUGUUUAUAUGACGGUUAAAAUAUACGUAACUUCGUGCCAAGUGAGAGUUAUCACAGCUGCGAGUAUGAA